AUCGUCAGGUAUCGUCUUGAUCUGCAACACAUCCAGGAGGACUUUGGACAGGGACAGCAACAGGCCGCCCAAACCAGGUACUCCGCAGGUUUGCUGAGCUCCGUGUGGCUUUGAAAAGGAUGGAAGAGGAGGAACUGCAGAAAGUGGAGGUGAGCAGUGGACUGCUGAGAUUGGAUGGCAUGGAGGAGAACCUGAGGAAAAUGAAUGAACUGCUGGAGAGAGGAGCGAAGAGGGAGAAACUUCUGCGGGCCGCUGCGGAGUGCAACGAAUCUGUCCUCUUUCUGCGCUGGUGGGGCCUGAAGUCGGUGAUGUCAGGCCAUACUGUCACCCUGAGAGGGGACAACUUGGCCUCCCCCUCCAGGAGUUUCCCCCGGCUGUGCCUGAAGAAGAGCAGAAUCCAGUACAGGAACCCAGACAGCCUGGAAGCCCUGUUCAGACCAGCUAUGGAGAAGAGCCUGAAAAGUUGCAUUGUCCCCAGGCUGGCUCCCUGGGAGCCCCCCCUGUUUGGGAAUGUAUGGGACAAUAUACGUUUGUUUUUUAGACGAAACCAAGAGAGGUAAUUUGCAUUUGGUAAGUCUUUAGUCGUUCAAUAUGCAUCUAUAACAACAUAUGUGAAAUGCGAGAAGUGUAAUUUUAUAUCUUCAUGUAGUACAAGUAGCUGUUAUUUAUGUAAUGGUGUAAUUACAUUAAGUAGGUAGGACAAACACCGCCUAACUAGGAUAGACUGUUAUCGACACCUACUGUAUGUAUCUUGACAAAUUGACCAGUCAGGAAACGUUUAGACUGAUAUGUACAGUGGGGAGAACAAGUAUUUGAUACACUGCCGAUUUUGCAGGUUUUCACACUGACAAAGCAUGUAGAAGUCUGUAAAUGUUAUCAUAGGUACUCUUCAACUGUGAGUGACGGAAUCUAAAACAAAAAUCCAGAAAAUCACACUGUAAGAUUUUAAAGUAAUCAAUUAGCAUUUUAUUGCAUGACAUAAGUAUUUGAUACAUCAGAAAAGCAGAAGUUAAUAUUUGAUACAGAAACCUUUGUUUGCAAUUACAGAUUGUCUCUCACAGAUGAGGUGUACCUAUGAUAAAAAAUUACAGACCUCUACAUGUUUUGUAAGUAGGAAAACCUGCAAAAUCGGCAGUGUAUCAAAUACUUGUUCUCCCCACUGUAUCAUGGAAUUUAUAAGAGUUUAAAAAUCAGGUCUGCUACAGUAUGACAGCCUUCAUACACAGCUCAGAUGAUGGAAAGGUCAGAGAAGUAACUUAAAGGCAAAUAAACAUGACCAAAGUUCACAAUGUCUUUAGAGUGACCAAGCCAAUGUGUGGCACAUAUAUUUAGAGUAGGCUCACAAUUCUUUUCAACUCAGUGGCCUAUGUUUAAACCCCAUGUAGGCCCAGUAAAAUAGAGAGACAAGGACUAAGAACAGAUUCUUGGCCACACAAAAAAGUUAAUUGAGGCAGUAGCAGCUAAGUCAGCCAGCAGUUUUAAUUAGCUGAACUCAGUCCAUAAAUAUCGAGCACAAGCCUUAAUGUUCUAAACUGAAUGUUUAGAAGAACAAGAAGUACAAGCAGAGCCAGAGACAGUAAGGUAAAUGAGACAGGUGAACAAGACAUCCAGUUGAGCACUCUGGUCUACUUUUUCCCCCUAAGCUGAAUAGAGUCUCGUUCUGAUGGCCCUGCCCAAUAUUUCAGUAGAUUUAUGCUGAUGGACAGUUUGUGCUGUGUACUACUACAGUAAUGUUUUCCUACCUUUAUAUAAAGCUAUGCAUCACAAUCAUGACAUUUUUUGAGAAUUUUGUAGUUAAGUCAAUCUAAAUUUCGAUCACCACUUUAUGUCCUGGUCAUUUGGACCAGUAGCUCCAAACUCAACCACUUUGUUUCCCGGUCAUUUGGACUAGUAGUUCCAAACACAACCACUUUGUUUCCAGGUCAUUUGGAUUAGUAUCUCCAAACCAGCCUGGUAAUAUAUACCCACUUAAGGGGCAUGUCUACAAUACCCUAAAACCAGUCUGGUAAUAUAGAACCCCUGAUGGGCAUGUAUACACUACCCUAUAACCAGCCUGGUAAUAAAGGUCUCCCUGAUAGGGCAUGUCUUCACUAACCUAAAACCAGCCUGGUAAUAAAGUCCCCCUGAAGUCACAUGCAAGCUCCUAUUGUAAAGAUUACAACCUAAUGGGAUCGUUCCAGUCCUUACUUGGUGUUUCCUGUUCUGUUUAGUUAAUUAGAUUAAUUACAUUCACCUGUGGUUCCACUCAUCUGUUUUGUGGUAGCCCAUCAGUAUGUGUAUUUAGUUCAGUCCUUUUCUCCCAGUCCUGGUGGGUAUUUCAUCAAGGCAGAUAAAGGAAAAGCUUGUUUAAGUGAGAGUCCCUCCUCAGUAACCUAGAUAACUUAUACCUCUGAACUAUGAUUGCCACCUUCAUUGUGGAAAAAUAAGGGACACCUUGCCAACAGCCCCAAGCACAGGGGACACAAAAGCAGGGGGUCUGGGGGUCCUCCCCGGUGAGAUUUUGUGUGUCAGACACUUAAUUUCCUGCAUUGUGUAUUUUUAUGCACCAAUUUGUGCUUUGUUUGCAUCAAUUUCAAAGUGCUCUGCUAUUCUCAACAUGAAGGUAAUGGAAAUAGAGUCAAUAGGAGUAAAGAACAGUUGCAUCAAUUAUAUUAAGGUUAAAAACAUUAGAUCAUAGGCAGGAAGUUUUUCAAAAUAAAAAAAUAAUUUGGUAUAUUUUGAAGAAGCAAGAACAGACCCUCCAGGAAGGGUGGGGUAGCCUAGCCUUUUCUGUUGCUGCUCCCAUGCUCUGGAAUAGUCAAUACAUUUAAAACUGUCAUUCCACCACUGAACAUUUUAAAUACAAUUUAAAGACCCC
ensembl:lncRNA